rnacentral:misc_RNA from 1 species
CAGGGUCUAACGACUGCCCAAACCAAACCGUGAACCUUUACUCGAAAAAAGAUGCUCGGCGAGCCGCCCGCUGGGGGGGCCACCGGCCGGCGACCGAGAUCGCCGGCGGCCCGCCGGAGCAUCGACCCAGAAUAUUUUGACAAGCAUCUGAGGAAGAAAACUUUCAAAAGUUAUUA